UACGGGGGGGGCAAGCGUUGUUCGGAAUUACUGGGCGUAAAGGGUUCGUAGGUGGCCAACUAAGUCAGACGUGAAAUCCCUCAGCUUAACUGGGGAACUGCGUCUGAUACUGGUUGGCUUGAGUGCAGGAGAGGAACGCGGAAUUCCAGGUGUAGCGGUGAAAUGCGUAGAUAUCAGGAGGAACACCGGUGGCGAAGGCGGGAUCCUGGGCCAGUACUGACGCUGAGGAGCGAAAGCGUGGGGAGCAAACAGG
rnacentral:rRNA from 1 species